AACGAACGCUGGCGGCAUGCCUAACACAUGCAAGUCGAACGAGACCUUCGGGUCUAGUGGCGCACGGGUGCGUAACGCGUGGGAACCUGCCCUUAGGUUCGGAAUCACUCCCCGAAAGGGGUGCUAAUACCGGAUAAUGUCUUCGGACCAAAGAUUUAUCGCCUUUGGAUGGGCCCGCGUUUGUUUAGCUAGUUGGUAGGGUAAAAGCCUACCAAGGCGACGAUCCAUAGCUGGUCUGAGAGGAUGAUCAGCCACACUGGGACUGAGACACGGCCCAGACUCCUACGGGAGGGAGCAGUGGGGAAUAUUGGACAAUGGGCGAAAGCCAGAUCCAGCAAUGCCGCGUGAGUGAUGAAGGCCUUAGGGUUGUAAAGCUCUUUUACCCGGGAUGAUAAUGACAGUACCGGGAGAAUAAGCUCCGGCUAACUCCGUG
rnacentral:rRNA from 1 species